rnacentral:rRNA from 1 species
CACGUAGGGGGCAAGCGUUGUCCGGAUUUAUUGGGCGUAAAGAGCUCGUAGGCGGCUUUGUAAGUUAGAGGUGAAAGCCUGGAGCUCAACUCCAGAAUUGCCUUUAAGACUGCAUCGCUUGAAUCCAGGAGAGGUGAGUGGAAUUCCGAGUGUAGAGGUGAAAUUCGUAGAUAUUGGGAAGAACACCGGUGGCGAAGGCGGCGAGCUGGUCCGUAUCUGACGCUGAGGCGCGACAGCGUGGGGAGCAAACAGG